rnacentral:rRNA from 1 species
UACGUAGGGCGCAAGCGUUGUCCGGAAUUAUUGGGCGUAAAGAGCUCGUAGGCGGUUUGUCGCGUCUGCUGUGAAAACUCGAGGCUCAACCUUGGGCUUGCAGUGGGUACGGGCAGACUAGAGUGCGGUAGGGGUGACUGGAAUUCCUGGUGUAGCGGUGGAAUGCGCAGAUAUCAGGAGGAACACCGAUGGCGAAGGCAGGUCACUGGGCCGCAACUGACGCUGAGGAGCGAAAGCAUGGGGAGCGAACAGG